ACAGCACACACACAGCAGUGUAUGUAUGUGUGUAUAUAUAUAUAUAUAUAUAUAUAUAUUUAUAUGUAUAUAUAUAUAUAUAUACACACACACACACACAUACAUAUACACGCGGCGUGUGUUUGUG